GCGAGGAGGAAACACCCGAUCCCAUUCCGAACUCGGCAGUUAAGCUCCUUUGCGCCGAUGAUACUUCGUCUCAAGACGCGGGAAAGUAGGUCACUGCCAGGA
rnacentral:rRNA from 1 species